rnacentral:rRNA from 1 species
UCCAGAGGGUGCAAGCGUUAUUCGGAGUUACUGGGCGUAAAGAGCUCUUAGGUGGUUCUUCAAGUCUGAUGUGAAAUCCCUGGACUCAAUCCAGGAAGUGCAUUGGAUACUGCUGAACUAGAGUAUAGGAGAGGAAAGCGGAAUUCCAGGUGUAGAGGUGAAAUUCGUAGAUAUCUGGAGGAACAACAGUGGCGAAGGAGGCUUUCGGGACUAUAACUGACACUGAGGAGCGAAAGCGUGGGGAGCAAACAGG